GAGCGGAGUAGCUUGGUUUAGUUGAGAGAGCAGCUGCUGCUGGGGACGUUCUCUGACUCUGCCUGCCUGCUGUUUGCCCACCACACUGCCCUCUGGCUGCCUUUUAUUCUUCUGUUGUGCAUUAACAAAAAAAAAGAUGGAACAAAAGCCGAGAACCACAGGGUUCUGCAUUCUGCACUUCCACAGCGUCUGCACAGAACAGGAAGCUGCACACUGCCCCCUAGCAGCAGCAGGGUCUUGGUUCCAGAUGCAGGGACGGAAAAAUAAAAUAAAAUAAAAUAAAAAAGAAAUUGCA